CCCUUAGAGUUUGAUCCUGGCUCAGGAUGAACGCUAGCUACAGGCUUAACACAUGCAAGUCGAGGGGAAACGACAUCGAAAGCUUGCUUUUGAUGGGCGUCGACCGGCGCACGGGUGAGUAACGCGUAUCCAACCUGCCCACCACUUGGGGAUAACCUUGCGAAAGUAAGACUAAUACCCAAUGACGUCUCUAGAAGGCAUCUGAAAGAGAUUAAAGAUUUAUCGGUGAUGGAUGGGGAUGCGUCUGAUUAGCUUGUUGGCAGGGUAACGGCCCACCAAGGCUACGAUCAGUAGGGGUUCUGAGAGGAAGGUCCCCCACAUUGGAACUGAGACACGGUCCAAACUCCUACGGGAGGCAGCAGUGAGGAAUAUUGGUCAAUGGACGAGAGUCUGAACCAGCCAAGUAGCGUGCAGGAUGACGGCCCUAUGGGUUGUAAACUGCUUUUAUAAGGGAAUAAAGUGAGUCUCGUGAGACUUUUUGCAUGUACCUUAUGAAUAAGGACCGGCUAAUUCCGUGCCAGCAGCCGCGGUAAUACGGAAGGUCCGGGCGUUAUCCGGAUUUAUUGGGUUUAAAGGGAGCGUAGGCCGGAGAUUAAGCGUGUUGUGAAAUGUAGAUGCUCAACAUCUGCACUGCAGCGCGAACUGGUUUCCUUGAGUACGCACAAAGUGGGCGGAAUUCGUGGUGUAGCGGUGAAAUGCUUAGAUAUCACGAAGAACUCCGAUUGCGAAGGCAGCUCACUGGAGCGCAACUGACGCUGAAGCUCGAAAGUGCGGGUAUCGAACAGGAUUAGAUACCCUGGUAGUCCGCACGGUAAACGAUGGAUGCCCGCUGUUGGUCUGAAUAGGUCAGCGGCCAAGCGAAAGCAUUAAGCAUCCCACCUGGGGAGUACGCCGGCAACGGUGA
rnacentral:rRNA from 1 species